rnacentral:rRNA from 1 species
CCUACGGGGGGCAGCAGUCGAGAAUCAUUCACAAUGGGGGAAACCCUGAUGGUGCGAAGCCGCGUGGGGGAAUGAAGGUCUUAGUAUUGUAAACCCCUGUCAUGUGGGAGCAAAUUAAAAAGAUAGUACCACAAGAGGAAGAGACGGCUAACUCUGUGCCAGCAGCCGCGGUAAUACAGAGGUCUCAAGCGUUGUUCGGAAUCACUGGGCGUAAAGCGUGCGGAGGCUGGUUCGUAAGUCGGGUGUGAAAGGCGCGGGCUCAACCCGCGGACGGCACAUGAUACUGCGAGACUAGAGUAAGGGAGGAGGAACCGGAAUUCUCGGUGUAGCAGUGAAAUGCGUAGAUAUCGAGAGGAACACUCGUGGCGAAGGCGGGUUCCUGGACAUUAACUGACGCUGAGGCACGAAGGCCAGGGGAGCGAAAGGGAUUAGAUACCCUGGUAGUC